GCCUGGCUGGCUCAGUUGGUAUGGCGUGUGACUCAUGAUCUCAGGGUUGUGAGUUUGAGCCCCACACUGGGUA
rnacentral:tRNA from 1 species